GCCCGUAAUUGGACCAAAUUCAAAUAAAAUCCUAAAAUCGAGAGUUAUCAUCAAUCGUGUGUUUCAUCAGCUUGUUCUGUGAAUCAUUAAUUUUUCCAGAGGUGAGCCUGGUGGUAAGUAUGGUAUAUUUAGCUUGCAAAGAAUUCCUUUUUGAAGGAAAUUUCAAGGUUUGCAAAAGAUGGAGUCGAGCAUGGAGCGAAAGAGAAGUAUUCUUGAAGAAGAAAAAGAAGAGGUUUGCUCCUUAAACAAGUGACACCUUUUUUUACUGUUUUGUAAUUUGUAAAUUUGAUUCUCUUUUUGAACGUGAAUCUUAAACUGAUGAAAUAGUAUUCAAGGGUUUAAUUUCUUUGUGGGAUAAGUGUUAACAGUUCAAUAAAAUAUUAUUUUGCAUU